rnacentral:misc_RNA from 1 species
AGGCGGCCUAUUGAACCAAAAAGGGAACUCAAGGAGCGGCUAACUGCAAGAUGGGCCAUGAAGAAGUUUGCUGAGGAUGAUUCAAUUGCAAUCUUGGACCCAAGGCUGGAACGUACUGCAGUAACUAACUUGCUCAUUGAGAAGAUUCUUGAAUUAGCCUUACAGUGUUUGGCCCCAGGCAGACAAGGCCGGCCAGCCAUGAGGAAAUGUGCAGAGAUUCUAUGGGGUAUUCGUAAGGAAUGCAAAGAACUAUCAGCUUCGGAGUUCCGUUCACUUUCCUCAAAUUCAUGGAGCUCCUCAGUGAGGGAAGAAUAAGCGAACGGCUAAAUGAGAUCUAGAAUCCAAAUUGCAAAUUGUGAAUUUAAGCUUAACGGGCAGAAAUGAAAGCCAAAAGCCAGAUGCUUCUUAAGAGAUACAACUGAUUUGAUACUAGUUGUGGGGGUUCAGGACAGAAAGGAGCUAAAAAUUUUCCAUUCUGUACGCAACGAUGGCAGCUUUGAUAGGAUUCUACUAGUUGCAAGAUCAUAGAUGGGAAUAUGGUCAAGAAAUUGGGUUAUAUAUAGAAAUUUUAUNNNNNNNNNAGUUCCUUGCUUCUACCUGAUUCUGUGUUCAUUAAAUAUUCAUCUUUGAUACUUUUUCCCGUCA